GCAAGUCGAACGAGAAGCUCUAGCUUGCUAGAGUGGAUAGUGGCGAAAGGGUGAGUAACGCGUGAACAAUUUGCCCCUAAGUUUGGGAUAGCCUCGGGAAACUGGGAUUAAUACCGAAUGUGGUCUUCUGUCGCAUGGCAGAAUGACUAAAGAUUUAUUGCUUAGGGAUGAGUUCGCGUUCCAUUAGCUAGUUGGUGGGGUAACGGCCUACCAAGGCAACGAUGGAUAGCUGGUCUGAGAGGAUGAUC
rnacentral:rRNA from 1 species